CCCAACCCCGCCGCGCCGACCACCGAUCGAUGUCUCCCCGAGUCGCCGACACAAUGACACAACGACCGCCACCACCGCCGAAUCAGUUCCAGCAGGCAUUUAUGGUCUUUUGCCUUGUUGCUUUGGAGAAGCCUAUUUCUCUUAAACCUGAGCACAUACGAGAUGAGAAAGUGAAGGUUUCAGUGGGGUGCUCGAGAAGGACCCCUUUGUGAUGAGCCCAUCAGAGGUGUCAAAUUCAAAAUAGUUGAUGCAAAGAUUGCACCUUGGAACAGGCCAGAUCAUCCCAACCGCAAGACAGGUGGCUUACUCAUCCUUCCUUAUGGCUACCCCAAGGCUUAUGGAACCUAUAUAUUAUGUGGAGUAGACCAAAA